AUUGAACGCUGGCGGCAGGCCUAACACAUGCAAGUCGAGCGGAUGAGGGGAGCUUGCUCCUGGAUUCAGCGGCGGACGGGUGAGUAAUGCCUAGGAAUCUGCCUGGUAGUGGGGGAUAACGUCCGGAAACGGGCGCUAAUACCGCAUACGUCCUGAGGGUGAAAGUGGGGGAUCUUCGGACCUCACGCUCUCAGAUGAGCCUAGGUCGGAUUAGCUAGUUGGUGGGGUAAAGGCCUACCAAGGCGACGAUCCGUAACUGGUCUGAGAGGAUGAUCAGUCACACUGGAACUGAGACACGGUCCAGACUCCUACGGGAGGCAGCAGUGGGGAAUAGUGGACAGUGGGCGAAAGCCUGAUCCAGCCAGGCGGCGUGUGUGAAGAAGGUCUUCGGAUUGUAAAGCACUUUAAGUUGGGAGGAAGGGCAGUAAGUUAAUACCUUGCUGUUUUGACGUUACCAACAGAAUAAGCACCGGCUAACUUCGUG
rnacentral:rRNA from 1 species